rnacentral:rRNA from 1 species
UACAGAGGUCUCAAGCGUUGUUCGGAUUCAUUAGGCGUAAAGGGUGCGUAGGCGGCGAGGUAAGUCAGAUGUGAAAUCCCGGAGCUUAACUCCGGAACUGCAUUUGAUACUGCUUUGCUUGAGGACUGGAGAGGAGAUCGGAAUUCCUGGUGUAGCGGUGAAAUGCGCAGAUAUCAGGAGGAACACCGGUGGCGAAGGCGGGUCUCUGGGCCGAUACUGACGCUGAGGAGCGAAAGCGUGGGGAGCGAACAGG